UGGGCAACCUGCCCCAGACACAGGGAUAACCCCGGGAAACCGGGGCUAAUACCGGAUACUCCGGUCGAACCGCAUGGCUCGAUCGGGAAAGCUCCGGCGGAGAAGGAUGAGCUCGCGGCCUAUCAGCUAGUUGGUGUGGGUAAUGGCCCACCAAGGCGACGACGGGUAGCCGGCCUGAGAGGGUGACCGGCCACACUGGGACUGAGACACGGCCCAGACUCCUACGGGAG
rnacentral:rRNA from 1 species